AUCAGAUGAAAAAUGUUAUGUGAAGAUGAACUCUUCAGGAUCUAUGGUCAAGUGCUUUUUAGGGAUAAAACUUAAGGAAGUAAUCCUUUAGCAAGCUUCCUAAAGCCAAGACUAGUGAAUGGGCAUGCAGGACACACAGGUAGCAGUUGUAAACACUUUCUGUAGGUGAAAGCUUGUUCAAAAUAUGAAGAAGGGUCAAUGCUCCGAACUAGAAUUUCUUGUGUGGUUUUGCAUUCAUGGAGCUGUACCAAGAAACAGAUAAAAUUGCU